UAAUAGAUACCCUGGUAGUCCACGCCGUAAACGAUGAGUACUAGGUGUAGGGGGUAUCGACCCCCCUGUGCCGCAGUAAACACAAUAAGUACUCCGCCUGGGAAGUACGAUCGCAAGAUUAAAACUCAAAGGAAUUGACGGGGGACCCGCACAAGCAGCGGAGCAUGUGGUUUAAUUCGAAGCAACGCGAAGAACCUUACCUGGACUUGACAUCCCCUGAAUAACUUGUAAUGGAGGAAACCCUUCGGGGCAGGGAGACAGGUGGUGCAUGGUUGUCGUCAGCUCGUGUCGUGAGAUGUUAGGUUAAGUCCUGCAACGAGCGCAACCCCCUGUCGUUAGUUGCCAUCACGUAAAGGUGGGCACCCUAACGAGACUGCCGCGGUUAACGUGGAGGAAGGUGGGGAUGACGUCAAAUCAUCAUGCCCCUUAUGUCCAGGGCAACACACGUGCUACAAUGGGCAGAACAGAGAGAAGCAAUACCGCGAGGAGGAGCAAAUCUCAAAAACCUGCCCCCAGUUCGGAUUGCAGGCUGAAACCCG
rnacentral:rRNA from 1 species